rnacentral:rRNA from 1 species
AUUGAACGCUGGCGGCAUGCCUUACACAUGCAAGUCGAACGGCAGCACGGGAGCAAUCCUGGUGGCGAGUGGCGAACGGGUGAGUAAAGUAUCGGAACGUGCCCAGUCGUGGGGGGUAACGUAGCGAAAGUUACGCUAAUACCGCAUACGAUCUAUGGAUGAAAGCGGGGGAUCGCAAGACCUCGCGCGAUUGGAGCGGCCGAUAUCAGAUUAGGUAGUUGGUGAGGUAACGGCUCACCAAGGCAACGACGGGUAGCCGGUCUGAAAGGAUGGUCGGCCACACUGACACUGAGACACGGGUCAGACACCUACGGGUGGCAGCAGUGAGGAAUUUUGGACAAUGGGGGAAACCCUGAUCCAGCGACGCCGCGUGGAGGACGAAGGUCUUCGGAUUGUAAACUCCUUUUGUUCGGGAAUAAGAAAUCUGUAGAAAUACGGAGAGUGAAUGUACCGGAUGAAUAAGCCACGGCUAACUUCGUGCCAGCCGCCGCGGUAA